rnacentral:rRNA from 1 species
GACGAACGCUAGCGGCAGGCUUAAUACAUGCAAGUCGAACGGCAAGUUGAGUAGCAAUACUUGACCUAGAGUGACGUACGGGUGCGUAACACGUAUGCAACCUACCCAAAACAGGAGUAUAGCUCGGGGAAACUCGAAUUAACCCUCCAUAAGAUAGUAGCAGAGCAUUCUGUAGCUAUUAAAACUCAGGUGGUUUUGGA